CUGGCUGUGUGCCUAAUACAUGCAUGUCGAGCGAAGUUCUUCGGAACUUAGCGGCGAAUGGGUGAGUAACACGUACUCAACGUACCCUUUAGAUUGGGAUAGCGGUUGGAAACAGCCGAUAAUACCAAAUAUGCACAUUUUUCGCAUGAAARGUGUGUGAAAGGAGCAAUUGUUCCGCUAAAGGAGCGGGGUGCGCAACAUUAGCUAGUUGGUGAGGUAACGGCCCACCAAGGCGAUGAUGUUUAGCGGGGUUGAGAGACUGAACCGCCACACUGGGACUGAGAUACGGCCCAGACUCCUACGGGAGGCAGCAGUAGGGAAUAUUCCACAAUGGACGAAAGUCUGAUGGAGCGACACAGCGUGCAGGAUGAAGGCCCCAUGGGUUGUAAACUGCUGUGGUAAGGGAAGAAAAAGCAGAAGAGUGGAACGCUUUUGCCUUGACGGUACCUUAUUAGAAAGCGACGGCUAACUAUGUGCCAGCAGCCGCGGUAAUACAUAGGUCGCAAGCGUUAUCCGGAAUUAUUGGGCGUAAAGCGUCUGUAGGUUGUUUGUUAAGUCUGACGUCAAAUUUUGGGGCUCAACCCCAAACCGCGUUGGAUACUGGCAUACUAGAGUUAUGUAGAGGUUAGCGGAAUUCCUUGUGAAGCGGUGGAAUGCGUAGAUAUAAGGAAGAACACCAAUAUGGCGAAGGCAGCUAACUGGACAUAUACUGACACUGAGAGACGAAAGCGUGGGGAGCAAACAGGAUUAGAUACCCUGGUAGUCCACGCCCUAAACGAUGAUCAUUAGCUGAUGGAAAAUUCAUCGGCGCAGCUAACGCAUUAAAUGAUCCGCCUGAGUAGUACGUUCGCAAGAAUAAAACUUAAAGGAAUUGACGGGGAUCCGCACAAGCGGUGGAGCAUGUGGUUUAAUUUGAAGAUACGCGUAGAACCUUACCCACUCUUGACAUCUUCUGCAAAGCUAUAGAGAUAUAGUGGAGGUUAACAGAAUGACAGAUGGUGCAUGGUUGUCGUCAGCUCGUGUCGUGAGAUGUACGGUUAAGUCCUGCAACGAGCGCAACCCUUGUCCUUAGUUACUAACAUUAAGUUGAGCACUCUAAGGAGACUGCCCGAGUAAUUGGGAGGAAGGUGGGGACGACGUCAAAUCAUCAUGCCUCUUACGAGUGGGGCAACACACGUGCUACAAUGGUCGGUACAAAGAGAAGCAAACUGGUGACAGGGAGCAAACCUCAAAAAACCGAUCUCAGUUCGGAUUGUAGUCUGCAACUCGACUACAUGAAGUCGGAAUCGCUAGUAAUCGUAGAUCAGCUACGCUACGGUGAAUACGUUCUCGGGUCUUGUACACACCGCCCGUCAAACCAUGGGAGCUGGUAAUGCCCGAAGUCGGUUUAUAAACAAACUGCCUAAGGCAGGACUGGUGACUGGGGUUAAGUCGUAACAAGGUAUCCCUACGAGAAC
rnacentral:rRNA from 2 species